GUGCUUACUUUAGCAGCACGUAUACCAGAAUUGGCAUGAUACUAAAAAGAUAAUCAUGACCCCCACACAAAGGUGGCACAGACAUUCUUGAAGCAUCCGUAUUUCGU
rnacentral:snRNA from 1 species